AAAGAAUUGAUGAUUAAUCAUAUGAGAGCUGUUGAUGCCACCCUGAAUGCGAUCAGAGAUCAGGCCGUGGCAUCAGGUGCUGCAGCAGCUGCGCUACUCCCCAGCCUGAAGCUUGAGACCCUUUCAGAGGAAGCAAUGAGCAACAGACCAGAGGCUACAGCAUUCCAAAAUGUGCUCAUAAGUUUUAUGGAGCUCUACUCACUGGCAUCUGCCAGAAUUGAA
rnacentral:lncRNA from 1 species